AUGCAGGCCAGGCUGCACCUCCAGGAGCCUGCACAGGAGACUGGCGACCUUGGCCUGAGGACCACCCUCCACAGCUGCCUCAGCCUCAUGGAGUGGGAGGCAGAUGGCCUCUCAGGCCUCUGGAUGAGAGCACAGCGACGACCAGGCGGGUGGUCCCAGCCCUCCUUCCUGGUGUCCUGGUUCCUGACGCCACCAGUGCGCUCUCCUGCCAGCGCCGAGCCUGGGAGCCUGGCCUGGAUGUGGCCACGUAGUGCGGAGGACGUGGCGAGGCCUUCCAUGCCCAGCCUGGGUUUCCAAAGCAGCAGCCCCUCCAGGCGGCGGACGUGCCCUACUGUGCCCCCAGUCCUCCUGGGCUUGAGCCCACUUGUAGGGAGUAAAGACCCCUCAUCUUCAUCCCACUGUCUGGACAGGACUCCCCUCUUCAUCCAGGAAGGAAGGCGGGUCUCUAAGACCACAGAGACCAAAGCCCAUGGGAUGGGGCAGAGCCAUUCACGUGGGGCCUCCUCUGCCCGCAGCCGCCCAGGGCCGCUCUCCUCCUGGUUAGCACAGCCUCCUGCCCCUGCUGCCCAUGUUUAGCCCGCACAGUCUGAGGCCAGCGCUCACGGUCUUCCUGGGACACCAGGGCCGCCUGCUUCUUUCCAUCCCCUUCCUCUUAUCACGACGAAGUAGGCAGCCUCCCUCGCGGGGCUCUGCCAUCAGCUCCUCAACUUUCCUCAUCUUGCUCUCAAUGCCGUUGUUCUCUCCGCCUCUGGCGGAUGAAGGGACAGAAGUGAGGUUGGCACAGAUGCCGGCGUUGGCUACUGCUUGGAGCUCAGGGCGCCCAUGACCCCAGCCCUGCUCUUCUGACGCCCCUUUCUCACUCGCAGGCUGCGUCUACACUUGGUGCCCACACGGUGCCUCUCCAGCGCCCCUCCUGAGGAAGGCAAACCCUCUCCUUGCCACCUGCCUGUGGGCCCUCACCCCCCUCACCUUCCCCGCCAGGCCCCGCCGGAUUGAGCCAGCUCGAGGCACCAGAGCAUAAUGAGUCCAGAAGGAAGCGGCACCCGGGGCUAGCGUGACCCAGAGGAGCCGGCCACACCUCGGCCGUCCUGGAGCUGCUCCUCUCCUGGGGAGGCGGCGGGUGGGUCUCCCCCGCCCCUACCAUCUCGUGCAGCCUCGGGACUCGCUCUGCAGUGACGCAGCCUCUCUGUCCCUGCCGGGCUGCUCAGCCACUCUGGACACACACUGUGCUCAAGGCGGGAUGGCAGGGAGGCAGGGCAGGGACCCCACGGCACGUCCUGUGACACCAGAUGACGUUGGUCCCCACUCCCACCCACACCACGGCCUCUUUCAGGUCAGCAAAGAGUAGCUGGGGGCAUAUGUGAUUAUUUUCCCUGGUGAUCUUCACAACUCAGGGCUGCUGACAGCCGGGGCUCAGAACACCGGGCCUUGAGAGUCCCCAGAUCCUCCACCGCACUCAGGGGACACACCUCUCGUCAGUCCCCGCUGGAUGCCCACUGCCCUUCGG
rnacentral:lncRNA from 1 species